rnacentral:sRNA from 1 species
GAAAAUGAGGAACAUAAACCAUAGUAUCUUUAAGCUUAAGAUUCCUUUUUGCUUUCUUAUGUAUCAGUGAAUGGGUAAUGUAAUAAUUAAUUAGUCAAUCCCCAUUGACGCUCAUGUUCAUACAUAACGGCUAC